GACGAACGCUGGCGGCGUGCUUAACACAUGCAAGUCGAACGAUGAAGCCUAGCUUGCUAGGUGGAUUAGUGGCGAACGGGUGAGUAAUACGUGAGUAACCUACCUUUAACUCUGGGAUAAGCCUGGGAAACUGGGUCUAAUACCGGAUGCGACCAAUCUCCGCAUGGGGUGUUGGUGGAAAGCGUUAUGUAGUGGUUAUAGAUGGGCUCACGGCCUAUCAGCUUGUUGGUGAGGUAACGGCUCACCAAGGCGACGACGGGUAGCCGGCCUGAGAGGGUGACCGGCCACACUGGGACUGAGACACGGCCCAGACUCCUACGGGAGGCAGCAGUGGGGAAUAUUGCACAAUGGGCGCAAGCCUGAUGCAGCGACGCCGCGUGAGGGAUGACGGCCUUCGGGUUGUAAACCUCUGUUAGCAGGGAAGAAGAGAGAUUGGCGGUACCUGCAGAGAAAGCGCCGGCUAACUACGUGCCAGCAGCCGCGGUAAUACGUAGGGCGCGAGCGUUGUCCGGAAUUAUUGGGCGUAAAGAGCUUGUAGGCGGUUUGUCGCGUCUGCUGUGAAGGCCGGGGCUUAACCCCGUGUAUUGCAGUGGGUACGGGCAGACUAGAGUGCAGUAGGGGAGACUGGAAUUCCUGGUGUAGCGGUGGAAUGCGCAGAUAUCAGGAGGAACACCGAUGGCGAAGGCAGGUCUCUGGGCUGUAACUGACGCUGAGAAGCGAAAGCAUGGGGAGCGAACAGGAUUAGAUACCCUGGUAGUCCAUGCCGUAAACGUUGGGCACUAGGUGUGGGGGACAUUCCACGUUUUCCGCGCCGUAGCUAACGCAUUAAGUGCCCCGCCUGGGGAGUACGGCCGCAAGGCUAAAACUCAAAGAAAUUGACGGGGGCCCGCACAAGCGGCGGAGCAUGCGGAUUAAUUCGAUGCAACGCGAAGAACCUUACCAAGGCUUGACAUAUACUGGACCGCAUCAGAGAUGGUGUUUCCCUUCGGGGCUGGUAUACAGGUGGUGCAUGGUUGUCGUCAGCUCGUGUCGUGAGAUGUUGGGUUAAGUCCCGCAACGAGCGCAACCCUCGUUCUAUGUUGCCAGCACGUUAUGGUGGGGACUCAUAGGAGACUGCCGGGGUCAACUCGGAGGAAGGUGGGGAUGACGUCAAAUCAUCAUGCCCCUUAUGUCUUGGGCUUCACGCAUGCUACAAUGGCCGGUACAGAGGGUUGCGAUACUGUGAGGUGGAGCUAAUCCCUAAAAGCCGGUCUCAGUUCGGAUUGGGGUCUGCAACUCGACCCCAUGAAGUCGGAGUCGCUAGUAAUCGCAGAUCAGCAACGCUGCGGUGAAUACGUUCCCGGGCCU
rnacentral:rRNA from 1 species